GCUGCGGGGCCGUUCCUGAGGGCACCGCCCUCUGCCCGUCCCGCUCGCCCUCAGCGGCCCCGGGGCCGUGAGGGCGCCGUGCCCGGAGAUGGCACCCGAGCGGUGCAGCCGCUUCGGACCGGUCAGGACACCGGAGAGAGGGGACAAAGCGGGACUGAAACUUUCCUCCCCCGAGAAGAGAAGCAGAAAUUGAAAACGUUGGGAUAAUUAAAUGCAGUUGUCUCGGAGGGGCUCAGGAAUGAUGCAGUGCUGUGGUGGAGUGGCCUCGCAGUCCUUCAUCUGCAGGGAAGGCUGGAGACGCUUCUUCAGGUAUGAAAUAUGCCUUCUUAUCACAAAACAGUACAUCCUGAUACUAUUAGGAUUCUCACUGAGCAGCUUCUCUGUUGGCUUCCCUGAUGUUAUGUAGUGGUAGACAAAACUGUUCUAUAGAUAAAGUACUCAUUAAAAAAUGAUGGUUGUCCUGUCAGUACUGUCCCCUGCAACUUGAUCUCAUCCUACAAACAUCUUUUACUGGGGGCAUUGGGACUAUUCUUGCAUAGAUGCUUGCAGGAUCAUAGUGUACAAAAGCAUUAAUUAAACUUUUCUACUUCCUCAAACUGUUCUAAUCUGCUGAGAUACUGGAUUCAAUGAUCUAACAAAUAUCCUCAAACACAAAGCAAAGUAGGAUAUUUAUUUCCAUUAGAGUAAUCUCUUGUUUGAAGACCACUGUGUUCCCCUCUGUCCACAAAAAUAAGCUAUGUAAUGUUAAAAGAGUAUACAAAUAACUGUCUGAUAUACACAUUAAAACCUAUCUAUUUAAUCCAGAGCAUUGCUAUAGAAAAUUCAGUGUUCUCAAUAUUACCUGGCAUAGCUACAGUGGAUUUCUUGCAGUUACACUUAAUAUCCCUUUGUAUGCAGUUAAAUUCCUCCCUCAUGAUUAAAGAAUGGGGGAAGUGUUUUAAAAACCACAAAACCAAAAUAUAAAAACAACUUGAACAAAUUAAGAGAUUAGAUAUAUGAAAUUUCACUGAACCAGCCAGUGCUUC